rnacentral:rRNA from 1 species
AAAUUGAAGAGUUUGAUCAUGGCUCAGAUUGAACGCUGGCGGCAGGCCUAACACAUGCAAGUCGAACGGUAACAGGAAGCAGCUUGCUGCUUCGCUGACGAGUGGCGGACGGGUGAGUAAUGUCUGGGAAACUGCCUGAUGGAGGGGGAUAACUACUGGAAACGGUAGCUAAUACCGCAUAACGUCGCAAGACCAAAGAGGGGGACCUUCGGGCCUCUUGCCAUCGGAUGUGCCCAGAUGGGAUUAGCUUGUUGGUGGGGUAACGGCUCACCAAGGCGACGAUCCCUAGCUGGUCUGAGAGGAUGACCAGCCACACUGGAACUGAGACACGGUCCAGACUCCUACGGGAGGCAGCAGUGGGGAAUAUUGCACAAUGGGCGCAAGCCUGAU